AAAUGUAAAAAAAUCUAACUUGAAUACAAGAGUACAGAAAACUCAAUACCUAAUAGAUGUGAGAUAAUAUUAAUUUAACAAGCCCAAUCACAUAUAAGUAGAGAAAAAAAUCUAUCAUAUGACAAAUUUGAAAGGAAUAAUAGAUAAAAGUAACAUGCAAGAACAAUGUAACAAAAUUAAGAUUUUAAUAUCAUAUUAAACAUUUAAUUUAAAAUUAAUUGACAAUUAAUAAAUAGAUUCAACUUAAAUAUAAAAUUUAAAUACUUAACAAAUAUAGGAUAAUACAACUUUAACAUUAUAAUCUAAUUGAUUCAAACUUAAAAUGAAGUAAUAUAAAUACAUAGAUAUUCAAGUGUGAAAGAAAUUAAGUCAGAGGAGCAAAAUGGAUCAAUCAAAGAAUUAAAAAUUAAAAAAUGAGAGGAAAAGGGAAGAACAGAGAAAGAGAAAGGGAAGAGAUUAGAGGCAAAAUGAAGAGAUGCGGGUGGAGAAAAAGGAGAAGAGUCAUAUUCAAUAUUUUAGUCUCCACACUUUUUAAUUUUUUUUUGUCUGUGUGGAACGUGGAUGGUUUGAUGAUAUAUGAAACAAAAUUCAAGUCUUAAAUGGAAAAUAGAAUUUUCUUAAUUGACCCAAAAAUCGAAGUUGUUGCAUGAAUGCAUCCCCUCGAUUCCACUUUCUAUUUCGCGGGCCCUGCCUAACCUUAAUUGCCACGUUAUCUACACAUUUCUUCCAAACAAAGAAAACAUUUAAUUUAAAUAAAAAACAAGUAUCGAUAAUUAAGUUUUUAUCCCAAUCCAAUAAAAACCUUAAUUGACAAGUAGCGGUGCCGCAACGAGUCGAACGAUCGUCGGCGAACAAAAAGCGAAUCUUCAAAGGCAAAAUAAGCAAAGUUGUUUCACACUUUCUAGUGGAUCCUAUAUCAAAAAGUCAAGAAAAGCAAAAAAGAAAGUAAUUGAAAACCACGAUUCAUGCCUGGGAAGUUUGGGAUAAAAAUAAGGCAUAAGCACAAAAAAUAUAUGGACUAAAAUUAAAUAAUUAUCUCAUCUUUUUUUAUUAUAUUGUAAUUAAUUAAAUUUUUAAGUAUAUAUUUUCAUCAAUUGAAUAAUUUUUAAAUAAAAAUUAAUUAAUCAUCAAUAUUUAUUUUCAUCAAUAAAAGAUUUAAUUUGAUAAAAAUAUAUGUUAAAAUUUCAAUUAGAUGAAAAUAAAUAUUUAAGGUAUUAAUAUAUUAUAUUAAAAUCAUAAAAACUUGAAUAAUUAUUUAAUUUUUGUUUAAAUACUCUUUUAUAUAAGUGCUUGAAUAAUUAUUAAAUUUUUAUUUAAAUGCUCUUUUAUAUAUUUAAGUCAAAAAAAUUAAAACUAAAAAAAACAAGUAAAGAAAACUUGUUUAACAAAAAAUAUAUAUAAUAAAAUGACAAAGUAAUGCGAUUCAGUAAUUUGAUAACUAAAGUAAUAUAUAAAUUUCACAUAUAUAUGUGGGAAUUUCAUGCUGAAACAAAUAAAAAUAAAGUGUUUUUAUUAAUUUGUAAAAAUUUUGUAGUAAUAUUUUGUGUUUUUUCUUUUGUAAUUUUGAUGGAAUAAUUGUUAAAUUAUUUUUAUUUUUUAUCUACUUAAUUUCAUUUUAAUUAGUAAAAUAAAUUAAAGUUCCUGUCUAAAACUUCUUUAAAUGUUAGGGUCAAGUUAGAUUUUGUAGUUAAUUAAGUAAGAAUAGCCUAGCCUUUUUCUAUUUAUUUUAUUGAAUAUUUAUUAAGUCGAGUAAACAACUACUUUGUCAAAUUUAUCAAAUGUUAGGGUCAACUUUCAUUUAUUUUAUUGAUUUCACGUGAAAUUUUAUAUUAAUAGGCAAAAAUAUAAUGGUGUCAAGUGUUAAUUAUUUUAUACAAAUAAAGACUUAAUUAGAUGGAAAUAAAUAUCGAAUCAAUAAUAAAAAAAUAAAAUUUUAUAUUUUUUUAAUUAUAAUUCAAGAACUUUUUGUUCCAUUUAAUCCGUGCUUAAGUAAUUAAGUAAUUCCUAUUCCUUAAUCAUACUUUCUUUUUUUAUUACUUAUAUGCAUGAAUGCAUACAUUUUAUUAAAAGUGUUAAUGUUAAAUUUUUUAUAGGUGGCAAUCAUGAACAAUUUCUUUUUAUUAUUAACUUUUUCUUUUUUUAUCUGUACAAUAACAAUUUAUGUUGUACUAUUAAAAUUUACCCCUUUGAAAAUUGGGUAUAUAUGUAGCUAUUCAAAAAUUUAAAAAAAUCAAAAUAAAAACCCAAAAUUAAAAAAUAAAAGUUUACAUCCUUGUAGCCCCAAAUGAAAUAAAAAAUUAAAAAAAAGAAAAAAAAUGGAAAAAUUUUUGAAUUCAAACAUACCAAAAAAUCAUUAAAAAAAAAAAAAAUUUUUCCUAUCCAGUCCAAAUACACAACAAAAAAGUUCAAAGAAAAAAAGGUCACAACAAAAAUAUUAAAAAAAAAAGCAAAAUGAGGAUUUCGAGUUUAAGAGAUUUCAGAAAAAAGGAAAAGGAAAGGGAACACCGACCGUAGUGGAGAUGGCAACGAAAAGCACAGCAAGCAAUAAUUAUAAAAGCAAAUCUGAACUUUAAAAAAAGUUUUUUAAAGUUUUAAAAAUUUUAGUCUUAGGAUUCUUUUUUUUUUUUUUUGGAUUUUGAAAAAUAUAAAUUAAUUAAAAGAACGAAAAGCUUGAGAUGAAUAAGAAAAACGAAAAAUUUUGGAUUUUGGACACAAUGAGGCGGCGGCGGCCAUGGUCAGCAAUAGGAACAACAUUGUUAAAGUCAAAUUUUAGAUAGAGGAGAAUAUAAAGAGCGAAAGAGCAAAACUCGAAAGAAACGAAAGGAA
rnacentral:lncRNA from 1 species